CCUACGGGUGACAGCAGUGAGGAAUAUUGGUCAAUGGACGAGAGUCUGAACCAGCCAAGUAGCGUGAAGGAUGACUGCCCUAUGGGUUGUAAACUUCUUUUAUAUGGGAAUAAAAUGUUCCACGUGUGGGAUUUUGUAUGUACCAUAUGAAUAAGGAUCGGCUAACUCCGUGCCAGCAGCCGCGGUAAUACGGAGGAUCCGAGCGUUAUCCGGAUUUAUUGGGUUUAAAGGGAGCGUAGGUGGAUUGUUAAGUCAGUUGUGAAAGUUUGCGGCUCAACAGUAAAAUUGCAGUUGAAACUGGCAGUCUUGAGUACAGUAGAGGUGGGCGGAAUUCGUGGUGUAGCGGUGAAAUGCUUAGAUAUCACGAAGAACUCCGAUUGCGAAGGCAGUUCACUGGACUGCAACUGACACUGAGGCUCGAAAGUGUGGGUAUCAAACAGGAUUAGAUACCCGUGUAGUC
rnacentral:rRNA from 1 species